UCGAUUUUCUAUCUAUCUAUCUAUCUAUCUAUCUAUCUAUCUAUCUAUCUAUAGAUAUUUGGAUGGAUGGAUGGAUAGCCAGUCCAACAAACUGGCAGAUGGAUAAAUAGAUAGAUAGAGAGAUAGACAGAUAGAUAGAUGUCUCGA